rnacentral:rRNA from 1 species
AUUGAACGCUGGCGGCAGGCCUAACACAUGCAAGUCGAACGAGUGGCGGACGGGUGAGUAAUGUCUGGGAAUCUGCCUGAUGGAGGGGGAUAACUACUGGAAACGGUAGCUAAUACCGCAUACCAUCAGAUGUGCCCAGAUGGGAUUAGCUAGUUGGUGGGGUAAAGGCUCACCAAGGCGACGAUCCCUAGCUGGUCUGAGAGGAUGACCAGCCACACUGGAACUGAGACACGGUCCAGACUCCUACGGGAGGCAGCAGUGGGGAAUAUUGCACAAUGGGCGCAAGCCUGAUGCAGCCAUGCCGCGUGUAUGAAGAAGGCCUUCGGGUUGUAAAGUACUUUCAGCGGGGAGGCGUUACCCGCAGAAGAAGCACCGGCUAACUCCGUGCCAGCCGCCGCGGUAAUUC